rnacentral:misc_RNA from 1 species
GUAUUGAUUGCGUGUGACCGCAAAAACAAAACAUUCUAGACUGUAUCGAAUUUUGUGUGAAAACGUGAGCCCUCCUGCAAAAGGGGUCCCCACGCGGUGAUGCACAAGAGGGGUGAGAUGGAUUAUGUGUGAGAGCACCAAGGUGUGCACGACCUUUUCAAAAGUCAGCGACAACCCCAGCACCUCCAUUGUAUGAUAAUGAUCCUUCCGCAGGUUCACCUACGGAAA